rnacentral:rRNA from 1 species
CAUGGAGGGUGAGAAUCCCGUCCGGUUGAUCAUUACGUUUUACGAUACGCUUUCAAAGAGUCAAGUUGUUUGGGAUUGCAGCUUAAAAUGGGAGGUAAAUUUCUCCUAAGGCUAAAUAUUUGCGAGCGACCGAUAGCGAACAAGUACCGUGAGGGAAAGAUGAAAAGUACUUUGAAAAGAGAGUUAAAUAGCACGUGAAAUUGUUGAAAGGGAAACGAUUGAAGCCAGUCGUACCGGCGGAUAAUCAACUUUUUGGGUAUGAUUGUGUGGGUCGUGUUGAGCUAAUCGCCACCACGUUUCACAUAUUUGUGCUCUUGGGUGUACUUGUCCGUGUGGUAGGUUAACAUCAAUUUCGAUUAUCAUAAAAUGAUUGGGGGAAUGUGGCUUCGAUCUCGUAUUGAAGUGUUAUAGCCUCUGGUAGAUGUGGUGAUUGAGACUGAGGAUUGCAACGAAUAUCCUUUGGGCUAUCCGUCUGAUCUCUGAUAGUUACUCAGGUGCUGAAAGCGUGCUUACGGUCAUCUAAGUUGACGGUCAACAGGUCAGAACGUGAUUACAUUCGUUAAGGAUGUUGACGUAAUGG